rnacentral:rRNA from 1 species
AUGCAAGUCGAGCGAACAGACAAGGAGCUUGCUCCUUUGACGUUAGCGGCGGACGGGUGAGUAACACGUGGGUAACCUACCUAUAAGACUGGGAUAACUUCGGGAAACCGGAGCUAAUACCGGAUAAUAUUUCGAACCGCAUGGUUCGAUAGUGAAAGAUGGUUUUGCUAUCACUUAUAGAUGGACCCGCGCCGUAUUAGCUAGUUGGUAAGGUAACGGCUUACCAAGGCGACGAUACGUAGCCGACCUGAGAGGGUGAUCGGCCACACUGGAACUGAGACACGGUCCAGACUCCUACGGGAGGCAGCAGUAGGGAAUCUUCCGCAAUGGGCGAAAGCCUGACGGAGCAACGCCGCGUGAGUGAUGAAGGUCUUCGGAUCGUAAAACUCUGUUAUUAGGGAAGAACAUACGUGUAAGUAACUAUGCACGUCUUGACGGUACCUAAUCAGAA